ensembl:lncRNA
GAUUAGGUUAGUGUUAUGAUAUGAGGGUAGGUUAGUGUUAUGAUAUGAGGGUAGGUUAGUGGUAGACAUGUCUGUAUGUAGUGUUAUGAUAUGAGGAUAGGUUAGUGUUAUGAUUUUAAGGGUAGGUUAGUGGUAGACAUGUCUGUAUGUAGUGUUAUGAUAUGUCUGUAUGUAGUGUUAUGAUAUGAGGGUAGAUUAGGUUAGUGUUAUGAUAUGAGGGUAGGUUAGUGUUAUGAUAUGAGGGUAGGUUAGUGGUAGACAUGUCUGUAUGUAGUGUUAUGAUAUGAGGAUAGGUUAGUGUUAUGAUUUUAAGGGUAGGUUAGUGGUAGACAUGUCUGUAUGUAGUGUUAUGAUAUGUCUGUAUGUAGUGUUAUGAUAUGAGGGUAGGUUAGUGUUGUGAUAUGAGGGUAGGUUAGUGUUAUGAUAUGAGGGUAGGUUAGUGUUAUGAUAUGAGGGUAGGUUAGUGUUAUGAUAUGUCUGUAUGUAGUGUUAUGAUAUGAGGGUAGGUUAGUGUUAUGAUAUGAGGGUAGGUUAGUGUUAUGAUAUGAGG